rnacentral:rRNA from 1 species
GAUGAACGCUGGCGGCGUGCCUAAUACAUGCAAGUCGAGCGAACAGACGAGGAGCUUGCUCCUCUGACGUUAGCGGCGGACGGGUGAGUAACACGUGGAUAACCUACCUAUAAGACUGGGAUAACUUCGGGAAACCGGAGCUAAUACCGGAUAACAUGUUGAACCUCAUGGUUCAACAGUGAAAGACGGUCUUGCUGUCACUUAUAGAUGGAUCCGCGCCGCAUUAGCUAGUUGGUAAGGUAACGGCUUACCAAGGCGACGAUGCGUAGCCGACCUGAGAGGGUGAUCGGACACACUGGCACUGAGACACGGUCCAGACUCCUGCGGGAGGCAGCAGUAGGGAAUCUUCCGCAAAGGGCGAAAGCCUGACGGAGCAACGCCGCGUGAGUGAAGAAGGUCUUCGGAUCGUAAAACUCUGUUAUUAGGGAAGAACAAAUGUGUAAGUAACUAUGCACGUCUUGACGGUACCUAAUCAGAAAGCCACGGCUAACUACGUG